GCAGGUUAUGUGCAUUCGCUCAGGCUCACACAAAGCAGGAAUGAGGGGACCAGCAGCCUCAGCCCCGCCCCUCUGCUGCGCCCUCUAGUGUUCAGGUCUUUUUUUUUGGAGAAAAAGGAAAAGGAGAAAGCUGCUCUGAACACUCAGAGUGUCCAGGACUUCGUCUCUCGGACUGAGCCUGGAGUCUAUUGCCAUUUCGACUGUGAAGCUGACUAUUGUGAGAGCAUCUGGGCAAUAACCCGAAAGGCUGAGGUGACCCUUCCCAUGCCCUGCCCACAAAAGCAGCUGCAUUGAGACUACACAGGUACAUGAGCAUCUAUUGAGAAUCAUGAACUUCCAGUUCCAUCGAUUUUGCAAGAAGCGACCCUCCACCUCGUCUGUCUUCACCACUUGCUGGCAGAUGAGAAGUUGACCCCUGGAUUGGGAAAGUGCGUGUGUAAGUCCCGCUGGUGGCUGAGAGCAGCGGGAGGAGAGCUCCAUCUAUUUGGGCUUUUGCUGCUUUGCGGGAUGCAGGUUGUGGGGCCUUAGGGAAAUAAAAGCUACAACUUAUUGAGCAUUUA